CCCUUAGAUGUUCUGGGCCGCACGCGCGCUACACUGAUGAAUUCAACGGGCACUAACCUGUGCCGAAAGGUUCGGGUAAUCUUGUGAAAUUUCAUCGUGAUGGGGAUUGAUUAUUGCAAUUUUUAAUCAUAAACGAGGAAUGCCUAGUAAGCGUGAGUCAUCAGCUCACGUUGAUUACGUCCCUGCCCUUUGUACACACCGCCCGUCGCUCCUACCGAUUGAAUGUGCCAGUGAAAAGUUCGGAUUGGAGAUAGGAGACGGCAACGUAUCCUAUUUCCGAGAAAAUCUUUAAACUUUCCCAUUUAGAGGAAGGAGAAGUCGUAACA
rnacentral:rRNA from 1 species